UACGUAGGGUCCGAGCGUUGUCCGGAAUUAUUGGGCGUAAAGGGCUCGUAGGCGGUCUGUUGCGUCGGGAGUGAAAACUUACAGCUUAACUGUGAGCGUGCUUCCGAUACGGGCAGACUUGAGGUAUUCAGGGGAGAACGGAAUUCCCUGUGUAGCGGUGAAAUGCGUAGAGAUGGGGGAGAACACUCGUGGCGAAGGCGGCCAGCUAGACCAGUUCUGACACUGAGGCGCGACAGCGUGGGGAGCAAACAGG
rnacentral:rRNA from 1 species